ensembl:lncRNA
GGUGGAAGGAACGGGAGCGGACAAGACAAGACAAAAGGAACACGAGCAGCGUCCGCGGGCUGAGGAGAAGGAGGCGUUACCAACAACUAAUGGAAGAUAAACAAAUGAAACUGAGGAAGUCUGGAUGACAAACGAAAAAGAGGAGCUCUAAAUAGAGGAGCUCCCGCAGAAGACGGCGGAAGAAGCCACGUGUGGAACCGGGCGGCAGGAGGAUGCAAGCAGAGGGAGCAAGAAGAGGAAGCAGAAGACUGCGGCUGGGCUAAGGGAGAGGCGGCCUGGGCAAAAGCAUCUCCCUGUCACCAGGGGCAUAGUCAUGUCGCAGUAGAGCGUUGCCGGCACUUUAGGUGACCAGGCCGGCUUUGUGCUGGGCGACCUCCCUGUAAGCAGGGCUCGGGUCUUUGCUGUAGUUGGCCUUUUGCCUUGUUGCUCCUUUGGCUGCCUGGGGAAGGUGGGCCCCUGUAAGGAGGGCGAGAGCUGCUUUCUCCGCACCCGAGUGGGAAAUGGAGCUCGCUGGACCCCACGGGCACCCUGUAAGCAGGGUAGCGCCCUUCCCCUGCCACUGUUCCUCUGGCCGCUCAGCGCUGAUGCCUGCUGGUGGCCUGUCCGUGUGUUGGCCCUGUACUCGGGGCGUGUGUCACGCCACUUGGCCUUAAGUCACCUGGGAAUCCCCUUGGCGCGUUGAGGUCUGAGGCCUCCGUGCAGCCCCGGGGCGGGACAGAGGCUCUUGUCUGCUGCUCGUGGGUACGGGGUUUUAUUUCCCCAGGCCUUGGCUGCACUGCCUUCUCCUUCCGUUCUGGAAAGCCCUGUCUGUGUGGUUGUGUUCCCCUUCCUUCCCUUGUUUGCUUUUGUGUGUGUGACUGUGCGAUUGAAGUCUCCCCUUAGGCCUCCAUGACUAUGGCUGCAGCUUAGCUGUGGCUUCCCAGGGGGGAAUGGAGGACUCGGUGGAUGCAGCAAGGGGGAUGUUCCCUCUUAGCUCCGCGAGUGGUGCAAGUGUCCUUUUGUCUUGCCCCUUUUUUCCUAGGGCAGAACAGAGCUGUGUGGUAGUUGCGUGGCCAUGGCCGCCCUGUAUCCAGGGUUUGGGUCUGUGCCUGUGUGGCCCCCUGUCCUGCUGGCGACACGCCAGCGUGACAGCCCCGUACUCGGGGCGUGUGUCACAAACUGUGGAGCCCUCUGUCCCCGGAGCGGCCCGCCCCCCCUGUAAUCAGGUCUGGGGAGGCUGCGUUGGUGCAGCCGGCUGCUUUAGCCAGCUGGUGGGAGUGACCCCUCCCUGGCCCGUUAGAGGGUGCAGGUUGAGGUGCUACUUGUGGCUGGGGCGACUUCCCCGCUGUGUGGGUAGAGGUUGUUCCCUGGGCUCCUGAAGACGUGGUGAUGAUUGUGCUGCGGCCGGGCGGGCCCGCCUGUACCUCGGGCGUUGGCAGGAGCUGCGUGCUCCGUGGGGCUUUUGGACGUGGUGCGGCGUGGGGUACCGUCCUGUAGUCAGGGCUGUGCGUGCCCCCUGCGCUUAGGAGGAUGAGUUCUGAGAGACCCCCUGUACUCAGGUGGGUACCUUCGGCCCGGCCUUUCAGAGGCGUGGUGCUGAGAGAUGUGGGGUUGGGAUCUCGGCCUUUGGCCGUGCCGCCCUGCUGCCUGGCCGCUGAGAGUCGUUCCUGCUGGCGAGGGGGAAACCGAGCUCUGUGGCUCCUGGGUGUCAUCGCCCCGCCUGUAAGCAGGGUCUGUGGGUGGGAGCCUUUGUGCUCCGCUGGCAGCCUGUGUGGGGCGACCGCCCUGAUAGCAGGGU